rnacentral:rRNA from 1 species
CUACGUGCCAGCAGCCGCGGUAAUACGUAGGUGGCAAGCGUUGUCCGGAUUUAUUGGGCGUAAAGCGAGCGCAGGCGGUUCCUUAAGUCUGAUGUGAAAGCCCCCGGCUCAACCGGGGAGGGUCAUUGGAAACUGGGGAACUUGAGUGCAGAAGAGGAGAGUGGAAUUCCAUGUGUAGCGGUGAAAUGCGUAGAUAUAUGGAGGAACACCGAUGGCGAAGGCAGGUCUCUGGGCUGUAACUGACGCUGAGAAGCGAAAGCAUGGGGAGCGAACAGGAUUAGAUACCCUGGUAGUCCAUGCCGUAAACGUUGGGCACUAGGUGUGGGGGACAUUCCACGUUUUCCGCGCCGUAGCUAACGCAUUAAGUGCCCCGCCUGGGGAGUACGGCCGCAAGGCUAAAACUCAAAGAAAUUGACGGGGGCCCGCACAAGCGGCGGAGCAUGCGGAUUAAUUCGAUGCAACGCGAAGAACCUUACCAAGGCUUGACAU